rnacentral:rRNA from 1 species
CCUACGGGGGGCUGCAGUGGGGAAUUUUGGACAAUGGGCGCAAGCCUGAUCCAGCCAUUCCGCGUGAGUGAAGAAGGCCUUCGGGUUGUAAAGCUCUUUCGCAAGGGAAGAAAACUUAUCCUCUAACAUAGGAUGAGGUUGACGGUACCUUGAUAAGAAGCACCGGCUAACUACGUGCCAGCAGCCGCGGUAAUACGUAGGGUGCGAGCGGGGCUCGGAAUUAGCGGGGGUAAAUUUUGAGGAGAGUGGUGAAAUCCCCGAGCUCAACUUGGGAACUGCGUUUGAAACUACAAGACUAGAAUAGGUCAGAGGGGGGUAGAAUUCCACGUGUAGCAGUGAAAUGCGUAGAGAUGUGGAGGAAUAUCAAUGGCGAAGGCAGCCCCCUGGGAUCAUAUUGACGCUCAUGCACGAAAGCGUGGGGAGCAAACCGGAUUAGAUACCCCAGUAGUC